rfam:Otolemur garnettii contig086261, whole genome shotgun sequence.
AUACUUACCCCAUAGGGGAGAUAACAUGAUCACGAAGGUGAUUUUCCCAGGGUGAGGCUUAUCCAUUGCACUCCGGAUGUGCUGACCCCUGUGAUUUCCCCAAAUGUGGGGAACUCGACUGCAUAAUUUGUGGUUGUGGGGAACUAUAAUCAUGGUAUCCCCUA